GGCCUGGUGGUCUAGUAGUAUGAUUCCUUCUUAGGGUUUUCUGAGAAUCGCUUGGAGGAGGUCCCGGGUUCAAUUCCCGGCCAGGCCC